AUAAAUAAAUCAGAUCUAGUUAGAGCAAAUAAGUUGUUGGAAAAAACAAAUGCACGCAAUGAUUUGAGCCCUAAGUGUCUUGAUUGAUUAAAAUGAGAAUACUCUGUCAAAUUACAGACCUUCCUCAUAACACCUAUAACAUCAUGUCUGCGUAUACAGUACUUUUAACCUGUCUUUGAUAU